rnacentral:rRNA from 1 species
CUCUCGGGAGGAGACUAACAAGGAUUCCCCUAGUAACUGCGAGUGAAGAGGGAUGAGCUCAAAUUUCGAAUCUGGCGGUCUUGCCGUCCGAGUUGUAAUCUAUAGAAACGUUUUCCGCGCUGGACCGUGUACGAGUCUCCUGGAAGGGAGCGUCCUACAGGGUGAGAAUCCCGUCUUUGACACGGACUACCAGUGCUAUGUGAUGCGCUCUCGACCAGUCAAGUUGUUUGGGAAUGCAGCUCAAAACGGGUGGUAGAUUCCAUCUAAAGCUAAAUACAGGCGAGAGACCGAUAGCGAACAAGUACCGUGAGGGAAAGAUGAAAAAAACUUUGGAAAGAGAGUUAAACAGUACGUGAAAUUGCUGAAAGGGAAACGCUUGAUGUCAGUCGCGUCCGCCGGGGAUCAACCUUGCUUCAUAUCAGCUCGGUGUACUUCCUGGUUCGACGGGUCAGCAUCAUUUUCUGUCGCCGUACAAGGGCGAGGGGAACGUGGCACUCUUCUGGGGUGUGUUAUAUCCUUUCUUCGUAUGCGGGGGUCGGGACUGAGGAACUCACCACUUGGGAUCCUUUAAGGGAUCCUGUAACUUAGGAUGCUGGCAUAAUGGCCUUAAGCGACCCGUCUUGAAACACGGACCAAGGAGUCUAACAUGCCUGCGAGUGUUUGGGUGGCAAACCCUUGCGCGCAAUGAAAGUGAAAGUUGAGACCUCCGUCAUUGGAGGGCAUCACACGCCCGGACCUGAGUCUUCGACGACUGAUCUGCGGUACAUCAUGCAUGUUGGGACCCGAAAGAUGGUGAACUAUGCCUGAAUAUGGUGAAGCCAGAGGAUACUCUGGUGGAGGCUCGUAACGAUUCUGACGUGCAAAUCGAUCGUCGAAUUUGGGUAUAGGGGCGAACGACUAAUCGAACCAUCUAGUAGCUGGCUCCUGCCGAAUCUCCCCUUCAAGAAAAA